rnacentral:rRNA from 1 species
GUAGGGUGCGAGCGUUAUCCGGAAUCAUUGGGCGUAAAGAGCUCGUAGGCGGUUCAGCAAGUCGGCCGUGAAAUUCCGAGGCUCAACCUCGGAACUGCAGUCGAUACUGCUGUGACUCGAGUCCGGUAGAGGAGAAUGGAAUUCCCGGUGUAGCGGUGAAAUGCGCAGAUAUCGGGAGGAACACCAGUAGCGAAGGCGGCUCUCUGGGCCGGCACUGACGCUGAGGAGCGAAAGCGUGGGUAGCAAACAGGAUUAGAUACCCUGGUAGUCCCACGCCGUAAACGUUGGAUACUAGGUGUGGCGUUCCGACCAACGGUCGCCGUGCCGAAGCUAACGCAUUAAGUAUCCCCGCCUGGGAGUACGGCCGCAAGGCUA